GAUGAACGCUGGCGGCGUGCCUAAUACAUGCAAGUCGAGCGAACGGACGAGAAGCUUGCUUCUCUGAUGUUAGCGGCGGACGGGUGAGUAACACGUGGAUAACCUACCUAUAAGACUGGGAUAACUUCGGGAAACCGGAGCUAAUACCGGAUGAUAUUUUGAACCGCAUGGUUCAAAAGUGAAAGACGGUCUUGCUGUCACUUAUAGAUGGAUCCGCGCUGCAUUAGCUAGUUGGUAAGGUAACGGCUUACCAAGGCAACGAUGCAUAGCCGACCUGAGAGGGUGGUCGGCGACACUGGAACUGAGACACGGUCCAGACUCCUAAGGGAGGCAGCAGUAGGGAAUCUUCCGCAAUGGGCGAAAGCCUGACGGAGCAACGCCGCGUGAGUGAUGAAGGUCUUCGGAUCGUAAAACUCUGUUAUUAGGGAAGAACAUAUGUGUAAGUAACUGUGCACAUCUUGACGGUACCUAAUCAGAAAGCCACGGCUAACUACGUG
rnacentral:rRNA from 1 species